rnacentral:ncRNA from 12 species
UCCGUAGGUGAACCUGCGGAAGG